AGACUUUCUACAGGCACACUAGCAUUGUGUUCAAUUGUAUUAGGUUGCACAAACAGUCAGUGGGCAGAACAGUUGGUCAUUAUGACAGGGGGUAUUUGAGACCAUAUCUAAAGGAUGGUAUUGAGACUUCUCAAACAUGGGUCUAUUGUAGACCCACUUCCUCUCUGCUUACCUCGUGUCAAAAUACAUCCUCACAAGUUAUUCCUUUUUUGUCCACAUGUGGCACAUGUGCAGGACUUUUAUUUUGAUGUUGCUAAGAGCACCUACACACUCAGCUGACCAACUCAACUCUCUCUCCUCAGUUCACUCAGAAGAUGCUGGACAGUUUGUAUAAUUUCUCCUCGUCUUUUGCCGUUUCCCAGUCGCAGAUGACUCCAAACCCCUCAGAAAUGUUCAUCCCUGCCAGUUCCAUCCUCAAAUGGUAUGAGAACUUCCAGAGGCGCAUGGCUCAAAACCCUAAUUUCUGGAAGACUUGAGUUGUCUCGACAAGACCAGUGUUAAAAACCAUGAUAAAGGGGCAUGGACAGAGAAGACCAAAGACUUCAUUUUCUGCUCCAGAAUGUCCAGGAAUGGUCCUCCACAGAAGACGAAAAUAUCGUUUUAUAGCAACAAUUACUACAUGUUUGUCCAAUAUUAAACGUUUCUUAAAAUUC